ensembl:lncRNA
UUGACUAGACGGACCUUUGUUGGAAUAAAGAGAUAAAUAAAGAAAUAAUCCUGAGGAGGAGAGGUUGAAACCUCUUAAAAUAAUAAUAAGUCAGUCAUUUCUCACUUCUUGUCUCCACCAGAAGGUCUUAGAGGAGAGAUUCUGCAGCCUGGCCCAGGGGCUUAGUACCCACCUUUUCCAGCUCACAAGACACAAGGGUAGGCAAACUUGUCCCUCGUGGGUCCCAGAAUACUCAGGAUCUGACUGCUUGCUCUUCCAUCUGAAGAAAAGGCAAGUGGAAAGAAAGGAAAGAAAAGGAAAAGGAAAAAGAAAAGAAGGAAGAAAAUAAAUCGUUGCUUAAAAUGGAUUCCUGUGUUUAUCACAAGACUAAGUUUCUGUCUAACAGAAACAGCAGAUGCUCACUUUCAACUUAUUCCUGUUAACGUCAAAGGGACAGUGGCAUGCCAUGCCCUCCACAGACGGACAGACCGACAGAAGUAAAAGGUGCUUCAGCUGGGCAAAGCUACCCACCACACAAUUGUUUUGGGAUGGAAGCCAGGUGGUUCACGCUCACGCACCCUGGCUGGUGCUCACAUCACUCACAGUCACGGUGGUGGAGUGGAGAAGUGGCAGCAGAAACACAGACACUUGUUAUAUAGACAGCAGGUAUCAUCAUCAUCAUGUCUAUGAAGUCACAAGUAUAUGAAGCAGUUUCUAAACCUUGGCUUGCCUCACAAUCACUUAGGGAUCUGGCUAAAAUGCGUAAUUCUCAUCUCUACCUUCAGAGAUUCUAUUGCAGCACGUCCAGGGUUCACCAAAGGAGUCUGGAUGUAAGCAGCAUCCUAGAAGGUUCUGAUGCAGUUGGUUCCUGGAAAAAUAUUGGUAUUUCUAGCAACAUUUCCAGGCAGAAGGAUCAGGAUCUGGCCCCUCACGCACUAGGAGAGCUAGGAUAGGUGUUAGAGUCCUAAGAGUGGCCACCAAGUCAUACACAGUGAGCCUUGGAAAUGGGAGGUAGAGGAAAGGGCGCGGAGAUUCCAGGGAGCCAGCUAUCCAGAUCGCAAGCAUAGAAAAUAUGAAGCUCACCGACACUCCCUCUCCCCACUGGGACUGACAACCAUCUCUCCGAAGGCAUCUGCUUUUCCUGUGAAAUGAGCCAACAUCAAAGAGUUGGCAGCCCUACCAAGUUAGUUUGUUCAUGCUUCCACUCUAAGCUUGCCUGGAGUCCAUAUUUCCAAUACUGAAUCUCAUAACCGCUUCUUGGGGGUUUUCAUAGGGUUAUCAGUAAAAAUAAUAAUCCAGAAGCACGCUAACACAGGACUCAAAAGGCAAAAACUGGAUUAUUUGGUGACAGGGAUAGAAAGCAAGGCGUUGUGAGGCGAAUGGUGCAUUACUUGGGAUUAGUCACCAGAGGGCGCCAGAGCAUCCUUCGCCAAAAGGUUUCAGUUCAACAAAACCCUUAUGGCGUCAGUUAAACAAAAACAUUUCCCCAAAACGACAGGUUCCACCGAAGUAACCCUAAAGGCAGAAGAGAGUGGACAGGUGGUCCCUGGAAAAGUCUUCUGAGGCAAUGCAAUUUCGUUGACGUUAUCCAUUUGGUGUUAAAAAUUGACACGACUUUCCAGACUCCUGAUACAUCCUGGUUUGCCUAAUACACAAAGUUUUACAUUUCAAUAUUAAAAAGCAGAGACAUUACUUUGCCAACAAAG